CAAAGAACUCCCCCAGUCUCAGGAAGCACUCAGCUCCUACAAAAAGAAAAACAAAAAUACAAAGUCAGUCAAUUACAAUAUGAUCACAGCAGACAAAAACAAGCUUACCGUCACAAAAACAGACAUUACCCCGAGCGCAAACUGAUUACAGGUAGCAAGUUUACCACGACUGACCAAAACCACUACUACCAAGCUAGUACCAUAGCAGUACCAACAUAACUGAUAAAGACUGUUACAACACAGUUGAGUUCAAUAAAACUGAUCUUAGUGACAGUAACCAACAUAAAUAAAAGCAAAACAAACGGAAGCAGCAAAACCAAACAGAAUCAAGCAGCAACGUGGCUCUGCGAGUGAGGGGGAGGAGCUAUACCGAAACGACCACAUCUCACUCAGCCCGCCUUAACGCAUUCAAAAUCGAGGACCCUAAGAACAAACAGGUGUUACAACCUCAAUUUGGAAAGCAUGCAAGAUAGUUUAGCUCGAGUAACGGAACUAAAUGCUUUACCUACUGUGAUCCGAUGACAUGAUACACACGAUGGUACAAACGAAAAUCAUGAUAGCGUCUUUAAUAGUUGUGACGGCAACAGCUAGUGCUCCGACCGGAGCUACGUUAAACUACCAUGCUACACAGAUGGGAGCCUUGACCACCCAUGCACACAGUCUUGGUAGCCCAACGUCACACUAAACAAGUAUGGUUCAGGUUCAGGUGUUACAGUUCGGACCAGUGACUUCGGAGCGAUUAGGAAGCCUUCUGUGAGAGCUUCAGCCCCUGUGCAAUUAAAUAAGGAAGCUGUCGAAGUCUGUUUAGAGACUUGCUAUUGGUAAAACAUUUCUUGUUGUGCUGUUAGAGGAACAUAAUCAACAACAGGGUGGUGUGAUGAAGUGGAGUUAUUUUCCUAUAACAGUAUGCUGGAAGGUCAGGGGUUCAAGCCCCAGCACUGCCUGGCUCUGGGUUACUGAUCGGAAUGUCGGGGGUUCAAGCUCCAAGUUCAAGCUGCCACUGUUGGGCCCUUGAGCAAGGCCCUUAACCCUCUCUGCUCCAGGGGCGCUGUAUCAUGGCUGACCCUGCGCUCUGACCCCAACUUCCUAUCAUGCUGGGAUAUGCGAAGAAAAGAAUUUCACUCUGCUGUGACCAAUAAAGACUCAUUAUCGUUAUCGUGUCCCAUUUAUGUCCCAUUUAUUCUUCUUAUAGCACAGCAAUUUGCCACUGAUUACAUUUAUUUAUUUUUUUAUAAAUUAAACAAUGGCCUACAUCUCACCCAUAUGGCGUGUGAAAUAAAAUAUUAAAUAAUGAACUAAACUUGUUUGCUUGUUUCCUUUGUUCUUUCAGAGCAGUUCAGUGGUCCAUUUCUUUCAUUCCAUUACCGAUCUUCUCGUGUUCUUUUCUUCAACACGUCACUGUGCAACGAAGUGCUGUCUCCUUGUAGCAAAGCGAAACAGUUCUGUAUAAACUUGUCCUGUCUCUGUGGAGAUCUCAUGGCAUAGCAUAUUAUUAUUAACAUUUUUUUUUUUUUACAACCAUCUAGUGGUGCUCCUGUCUUGGUUACUUAAUUAGACCAGCUCCUCCGGGUGUUUGAAGAUCAAGUUUCCAGCAAACACGAGAACGAAGGAUGUUAUACUAUCAACAGUGUUUCAUAAACAUUAUUGGUAAACUCAAUAUAUUAACUAAAAUUACGCCAUAAACAUAAGAAUACUCGAU
ensembl:lncRNA